UACGUAGGCAGCGAGCGUUGUUCGGAAUUACUGGGCGUAAAGGGUGUGUAGGUGGUGACGUAAGUUCUGUGUGAAAUCUCCCGGCUUAACCGGGAGGGUGCGCAGAAGACUGCGUUGCUAGAGUAUGGGAGAGGUAAGCGGAAUUUCUGGUGUAGCGGUGAAAUGCGUAGAUAUCAGAAGGAACACCUGUGGUGUAGACGGCUUACUGGACCAUUACUGACACUGAGACACGAAAGCGUGGGUAGCAAACAGG
rnacentral:rRNA from 1 species